rnacentral:tRNA from 1 species
CCUGCCAAGAGCCUAGGUGGUCUAGUGGUAAGGCGCUCGUAAGUACCUCCAGACCUUCAUCGGGGUGAGUCAACAUUUGGGUUGGCAAUAACUUUGAAAGGAGGAUGGAGACACGAGAGACCCGGGUUCGAUCCCCGGCCUAGGCAU